CGCCCCUGGACCGCCCCGUCCGCCUCAGAGGAACCCUGGCAGGUUCAGCUGACGCCGCACUCCACGUGACGCUAGGGCCGAGUGAACAUGGCGUCUACCGUGCGCCCUUCCUUCUCCCUGGGGAAUGAGACCCUGAAGGUGCCGCUGGCACUGUUCGCCCUGAACAGGCAGCGCCUGUGUGAGAGGCUGAGGAAGAAUGGAGCUGUGCAGGCCGGCUCAGCUGUCGUGUUGCAGGGCGGGGAAGAGAUGCAACGAUACUGCACCGAUACCUCCAUCAUCUUCCGCCAGGAGUCCUUCUUUCACUGGGCCUUCGGUGUCAUCGAGUCAGGCUGCUAUGGUGUCAUUGACGUGGACACUGGAAAGUCAACCCUGUUUGUGCCCAGGCUUCCUGCCAGCUAUGCCACCUGGAUGGGAAAGAUCCAUUCCAAGGAGCAUUUCAAGGAGAAGUACGCAGUGGACGAUGUCCAGUACGCGGAUGAGGUGCGUAGCUGA
rnacentral:lncRNA from 1 species